AAACCCCCGUCUGUAAGGCUUCCCAGUCUGGGGGGAAAAAUGCAAGAACACCAAACAGCUCGUCCCGAGUUGCCCGGUUUUGGCCGGGGAGGGAGGUGGGGACAGUGGGCCGCCCGCGGUUUGGGUCGGGUGGAGGCUCGGUUAUGACCACCUGAGGGCCGGCGGUGAGGCUGGAGCAGAGGUCCCAGGGCCUGUACCUGACAGGACUGGGCGGGAUGGCUCUCAGUAGCCGUGGAUGGGGGAAAAUGAAGAAAUCGAUGGCGGUGGGCGGCGCCGGGAAGGUGAACCGCUCAGGGGACCGCCCGCCGGGCGGUGGGCGGGGCGCGCGGGGCACGGGGCGGGGUCAACAGCUGCGCCUCUUCUCACAAAUCCAGUUGUCCCUCUCGUUGUCGCACGGUGCAUCGUUCCACAUCCCAGUGCGUAGCAUCAUCACGCAGUCCUCGCGCCCCAUAGAGUCAUUGGGCUCCCCCAGGUUCCAGUGGCUGCGGAGGUUUGUCGGGGGGCUGUUUCUGGGAGUCUGAGGACGGGCCUGGCGUCCAGCCCUGAGGAUCUAUCCUGUUUAUUGCUUGGGUCCAACCUAGACACUCCGAGGGUCUAACUUGAGCGUGCACCUGGGAGACAGCUUUCUAAACUCCCGGAAUUUAAACCCUCCGCCAGGUCCUGGGGUCCAGCCUGCCCAUCCCCACAGAUCUGGCCACAGCACUGCCCCUGGGGUCCGACCCGUCCCUCUCCCCAAGUCCCUUCCCUCACCUGAAGCUGAGCGGGACUCCGUCUACCCACUGGUAGCCCUGGAUCUGGCGCGCGCGGCGCACGGCCCUCAGGCCCAGCCAGUAACCGCGGCCGCGCGUGUUCUGACUCAGGAAGCCCUGCGCGGGGAAGGACACUGAGCCCGCGGGGUCCGCCUCGCCCCCGCCCCGCCCCUCCCAGGCCCCGCCCCCUCAGGUGAAUUCCGCCUCCCUCCUGGGACCUCGGAGGGGGGGGGAACUGCCCACCUGCUCCUCCAGGUCCCCCACUAUCACCAGAUGUCCGCCGGAGCCCGCGCAGUUGCGCUGCGACUCCUCCCACGUGGCCCGCAGGAUGGAGAAAAGGUAGCAGGAGCCCUGGAAGGGCAGCCACGAUGCGGGGCACUCCUCACAGGAGCCUGUGGGAUGGCGAAGGUCAAAGAGACCAUCCCGGCUCGCCGCCUCCAAUCCCGGCCCAAGCCCCGCCCCCAGCACACACGUCUUACAGCAGCUGUUGCAGGCUCGGACCUCUGCGUUCAAAACACCCAGCGCCGCCUUCUGCUUCGAGGCUGGAAUGACCCCCGCACGGCCCCCACACACUCCAGGUCAUCUGCGGGGACUCAAACAGGACACCCUCCCCCACUCCGGGGCCAACCCCUGGGACCGAAGGGGUCCUCACCCACCCACUACCCUGUCUCCAGGGUCCUAGACACUCCCGGCCCUCACAUCUGGGGGGGGUGGGGGAGGAGGCGCUAAGAGUCACCGAGUCACCGUUCUGCACGCACCGUUUGUCCUCAGCAGGUCCUGGUGGCCGAACAGCGCCCCUCGCUCUGUGGAGGCUGUGGAGAGAGGCUCCUGCAGGCGGGGCCGGGGCCUCCGGAACUCUCCCCUUGCCCAGGGGGUGCAGGAGCUCCCGUCUCCGGACGCACAGAAGGGACGGGCAGGCGCACAGCACAUGUGAUGUGCGCGCGCGCGCGCACACACACACACACACACACACACACACGCCGAGGAGAGACAUGCACGCAUAUGCAUACACAGGUGCCUGGAGGCUGGAUUUGACCCCCGAUUUGACCUUGACUCAAUCCUUCUUGGCCAGAAGGGAGAACACAGACAUCUGUUGGGUGGUGGCCAGCUAAGCUUCUGCAUUGGAUCUUUUGCCCAUUGAAAGAAACGGAUUGCCUCGUUGCGUCUGAGAGAGCAAGAUGGUCACCGGCAGCUUUACUGGAGCCGAAGAAGCUGGGCCAGGGUUCUCGUUCUUGCUGUGUCUGCUCGGACUGGCACAGUCUGCUCCAGAAAUACGGCUCAAUAUGUGCCCGCCAGUGUCUCCGUCACUAUGAAGUGAAGGAUACAGGCUUCACUAAGUUGGAUUAAGUGAGCUUCCUUGAAUGGAUUAUCCAAGAUAACUACCUUAAUGCUCACUCAUUGUACAUGUAUAAAAAUACUUCAAGGAGGAGUGUUUUUUAAAACUGGGUUGCCGGGACCCCUGGUGGCUCGGUCGGUUAAGCAUCUGACUUCGGCUCAGGUUAUGAUCU